GACGAACGCUGGCGGCGUGCCUAAUACAUGCAAGUAGAACGCUGAAGGAGGAGCUUGCUCUUCUGGAUGAGUUGCGAACGGGUGAGUAACGCGUAGGUAACCUGCCUGGUAGCGGGGGAUAACUAUUGGAAACGAUAGCUAAUACCGCAUAACAUUGACUAUUGCAUGAUAGUCAAUUGAAAGGUGCAAAUGCACCACUACCAGAUGGACCUGCGUUGUAUUAGCUAGUUGGUGGGGUAACGGCUCACCAAGGCUACGAUACAUAGCCGACCUGAGAGGGUGAUCGGCCACACUGGGACUGAGACACGGCCCAGACUCCUACGGGAGGCAGCAGUAGGGAAUCUUCGGCAAUGGACGGAAGUCUGACCGAGCAACGCCGCGUGAGUGAAGAAGGUUUUCGGAUCGUAAAGCUCUGUUGUAAGAGAAGA
rnacentral:rRNA from 1 species